UUUCCAUUUGAUCAUUGGACGUUGCUGUGAUGCAUUGUGCAGUCUAAUGGCACAGUGUAGGAAAAAAUUCCUGUGCCGUUCUUGGCUGCAGGGUUGUCGCUUUAAGAAGAAUAUAAUAUACACUUUUUUCGCGCAUGCAGGUUUUACGACCAGUUUGGUUUACAACGCGUGUGAUGUGCAUGAUUAUUUAUUUUUAUUCAAGAAGUUAAAGUAAUGCGAAGAAAAGCUUCCUUGGUUUUCAACAACUAACAUAGCGUUGGUCUUAGUAAUGUAAAUGAUUAAAGGUGUCAAAUACCCUGUCUAUAACAAAGGGGAGCAGAGUUUAAGUUGUCAUCUAAUCUCUUUAACGCCUCACUGUCUCAGGGCAAGGUAUGGGAACUUUAUUUGUCACGUGGGACACAAUAUGGUUUCUGUUACCUUACUUCCUUGUUUUCAACAACAAAAACAUUCUUGAUGCUAGUAAUGGUUUGAAUGGAGGUAAACUGUGUUUAUUUUCUCACAAUGUUAAACAUGUCCUCAAAAAGGAGUUUAAACAUUGUUUUCCCCACUUAUUUCCUUCUCUCAGUGUUAAACACAAUAUUGGUUUAUGUGGACUGAAUCUUCAAGAGGGUACUCUAAUUUUUUGUUAGUUUAUUUUAAGUCAUUAGUUUCUUAGUCUGGUUUUUAAAUUUCUGUCAUCUAAACCUGAUACAAGUAAUGGUGUUCUAGGUUGUUGUUUUUUUUUAAAUCACAGGAAAUCAAUGAAUAAAGUUAUUUCCUAACAAGGAUGUUCAUAUGCGGGAAUAGGAUAAGGGUAAAAAGAGGUGUUAAACAUUUAUUUCCUUUACAAAAAAGAGGGUUACUCCCCCAUGAGUGACAACACGUGGUAAGAGGUGUGGGGAUUUCCUAUAUAAACAAGCAUUUUUGUGACUGUCCGUAUCUCGCCAACACAUUCGUGGAGACCCUACACCUGAACGCAUCUACAUUCUAUGAAAAUGGCUCUUGUUGCCGCAUUGAUGCCCAUGGAAACGCAUAACUCUGAAUACGGUUCAUUUAAGAGACCCCGCUUCUUAGUAGAGAGACAUUUGUUUGAUGAAAUACGGGGGCCAUCAUCGGUAAAACAUUCUCCAGCCAAAAAUCCUGCGAAACACGGAGUAUAUAGUAAUUUCCAACAAAGGGUUCAGCCCCAAGCCUCAGACAGCGGAUGCAGGAUUCUUUUUCAAAGACGAGAAGGAUCUGCAGCAACUUUAGAGAAAGUCGGAACAACUUCGUGUCAAGCCCCCAUUGAAGAAAAUAACCGCUGCAACAAAAUUAACGAGCAAAAAAUUAGAAUAGCGUCUUGAAGAUUUCAGUCUACGGUAUUGUGUUUAAUAAUGUUUGAACUCCUUUUUGAGGACAUAUUUAACAUUGUGAGAAAAUACAUGCAGUUUACCUCCAGUCAAACCAUUACUAGCAUCAACAAUGUUGUAGUUGUUGAAACACCUUUCCUUGUGUAUGGUUUUACAUAACACACAGCACACAGUGAAAUAACGAAUGAAAAUACACAGUGCUUUAAUCCCCUUGAUGAGAACUUGUUUUGCUUUGUGAGAAAAAAAUGCCGUUUACUUCCAUUCAGAUUUAUUUAUUACAAAGACCAAUGCUAUGUAAGUUGUUGAAAACCAAGGAAAUAAUGUCAAUCACAGCUAUUUUGCCACUUUUAUUCUCAUUACUUUAACUUCUUGAAUAAAAAUAAAAUGAAAGAAAAUAACCGCGUAUUCUACAUCAGAACCAUAUUGUGUCCCACGUGACAAAUAAAGUUCCCAUGCAUUCCCCUUGAGACAGUGAGGUGUUAAAGUGAUUAGAUAACAACCUAAACUUUGCUUACCUUUGUUAUAAACAGGAGGCUGGACAUCUUUUAUCAAACCAUUUCACACUCCUUGAUCUCAACCCCCUUAAUGACUUUGGUGUUUGAAAGCCUUUGUUCAGAUUUACCUCAGUGACACAAACUUAAUCAAACUAGCAGCAGUCGAGUUGCUAACAUCAUUUCCUGCUGGCCGCCAUGUUUCCAGUGAGAUUGAGCUGGUUCUUGGCACCGAGGCCUCGUCACCACAUGUGUUAAUCCCACAAUAUUCAACACCCUGUUACAACUUCCUACCUGUUAAAAACUUUCCCCAAAAACCGCCAGGCAGACGUGCAUGCCGUCACUCACUGUCACACCAUUAUAUACCCACACAGGACACUUCACGUCA